CAAACGCGUUUAAAUUGAUAUUAUAUUGCGAGCGGAAAUUGUACUGUGCGGCUAUAUGAUAUUAAAAAUCGAUCGUAAAAAAACCGAUGCCUGCUGGAAAAAUAACAAUCGAAUAAUAUUGAAAAAACGAUAGCCAUCAAAGAUCGAACCUAUUCUAAUAGUACAGCCACUCAAGCCGUUCCGGUUGACGAUUCGGCUGUUGAUUAUUAACAGAGACGUAUAUAUAGGAUCCGGACGAUAAGGGGUCUUAACGACUACGAAGAUCCGUUUCGCCCAUUAGAGGUAUUCGAGUCGUUUUGAAAUUGAGCUGGCAAGCGAUUUUCAAAAAUUAUUAUUUUAUUAAUAAUUCAAUGCAGUUUUUCUCUGAUUGUCGGUCUGCACUAUGAGUU